UUCAAGUGCGACGUCUCGUCACACUCGUAUCGUCGUAUUCGAACGGCCGUCGCAGUACUCAAAGUCAAAUCGGUGUGUGUACACCUCCCGUUUAAAAAUCAAAAACUACAGGAAAGAUGGUUGUUUGUACAGUGAAUGGGUGUCACAACACAUCAUAUAAUAAAAACAAACCGCCCGACAUUACAUUUCACGCUUUUCUGACUGAUCUGCUGUCUGCGAGAUGGAAGGAAAAAAAAUUGACUAAAUCGGAAUGACGCAAUAUGGAAACAUUGGAAACCGACUAAACACAGUCGAAUAUGCUCUGUCAUAUUUAAAUGUAUUCUUAUUAUUUUAUGCACUUUUAUUUUGUUGAAUAAAAAUAAAAUAGUAAAAACUUA